rnacentral:lncRNA from 1 species
AUGAAUAAAGGCAAUUCUCAAACAGCGUUACGGAGGAGCACGUGGUGCCAGGUGAAACACCGGGCAGGAGGACCACAGCGAUCCCGGCCGGACGGGGCAGCGGAGCUGCCGGCAGGCAGAGGCCUCCGGGGGAUGCUGCCCGCGCCCGGGCAUCCCCAGCCCGCGGAGACCCAGCGCGGUAGCGGAGCUGCUCUCCCUCGGCCACCCCAAAUCGCGGGUGGCCGCGGAGAGCUGCCUGCCCGAAAGGGGCUGCCGCCGGCGCUCCGGGAGCAGCGGCGCGGGGCGGCCAGAGGGCGCGGGGACAGCUGUGGAAAUAAAGGAGCGGGGGAAGGAUGGAGAGAAGGGGAAAGAGGGGGGCGGGGGCGCGGUGCCGGGGAAGGCAAUGCGGGGACGGUGGAGGGUUUCGACCCGAGUUCUGGGGGGAAGGGGGGCACGGCAGGCAUGGACACACACACACCACCAUGCCCCGGCACUUCCACCAAGUCAGCCCCACCGCCCCGCGGGGCCGGGAGCAGCCGGAGGGAAGGAGCCGCCGCGCACACACACACACACAGACACACGCCACCGCUGCGCUCCAGCCGCCGCUCGCUUCUCCCCCCCUCCCACCGCCGCCGCGCAGGCAGGAGGCAGCGGGCGCGGAGCAGAGCGGGCGGCGCAGGGCUCGGAGACCCCGGCCCCGGUCGGACCGGCCUCAGCGGCCGCGCUGCCCCGACGGCACCGCCGCCCCCUCCCCGGGGGCAGCGCGCACCUCCCCGCCUGGAGGGGCCGUGCGAGGAGGCAGCGGGCGGGGGGAGCGCGGGCACACACACACACACACACACACACACACUCACAAAUACACACACACACACACGCAGGCACACCCGCACAGACACACGCAGGCAGAGGCAGGGCUGCCCCACGCCGGUACCUUGCUGCCCUGGUGUUUUCCGUCCGGGCUCCUCCUUGCUGAGGCAGCUCGGGAGCGGAGCCGAGCGGGCGGGUGCGUGUGCGUGUGUGUGUGUGCGUGCGUGCAUGCGUGUGCCUCUGUGUGUGUCUGUCUGUGUGUGUGUGUGUGUGUGUGCGAGAGCGAGCGACAGAGAGAGACUCUCCCCCCUCCCCCUCCUCCUCCUCGCUCUCCUUCCUUUAAACGCCCACUCCUGA